CACAAAUAUGAAGGCGGGCUGGAACCUCUCGGGGUUACAGCCUUGCUGAAUUAUUCACCCUUGUCUUUUGCGUACUUCUUGUUUCCUUGGUGGGUUCGCCCACCACUAGGACAAACAUAAACCUUUUGUAAUUGCAAUCAGCGUCUGAAAAAACUUAAUAGUUA
rnacentral:misc_RNA from 1 species